rnacentral:lncRNA from 1 species
AAGCUGGUUUAGGGUACAAGUGAAUGAAAUGGCUUGGUGUGCCAACUGGAUCUCAGCUUCAUUCAGGUCGUUUUAUUGAGAUCCCAGUUGCUACCUAAAGAGAGAAAUGGCAAAGAUUGCAAGUACAGAACAUUUGAUCAAAGAGCUGGGGAGUGAGAGACGAAGAAAUAAAACAGCUUGCAUAGUGCAGUUACAGGUAGAUUUGGGAAUCUACAAAGUUGUUGGAUUCACCAGUUUACAUACAUUUAAGGUAAAGACUGUGAACUGGUAGCCAAAAGAGCCAGAUUUUCGCCUGCUCGUCUGUUUUGUGUGACCUUCUAGUAUUUGAAACCAGCUAGAGCCAUUGUUCAGAAAGGUUUUUCAAAAUAUUCUGAAGUGAGGCAAGGACAGGCCCACCUGAGGUUUAGCCUGGCACUCAGUAAUCUGCAAUGGGGUUGUGGCUGUUCCCUGUAGGAAAACACAUUUUCUGUCAUUUGCACACCCCACCUGGCCUCUGUUAGUCAUUGUUGAAUGAGAGAGUUUUUUGAAUUAAGAAUUAUUUCCAAACCA